GAGCGAACGCUGGCGGCAGGCCUAACACAUGCAAGUCGAACGGGUCCUUCGGGACUAGUGGCGGACGGGUGAGUAACGCGUGGGAACGUGCCCCUUGGUACGGAAUAGCCCCGGGAAACUGGGAGUAAUACCGUAUGUGGUCGAGAGACGAAAGAUUUAUCGCCAAGGGAUCGGCCCGCGUUGGAUUAGGUAGUUGGUGGGGUAAUGGCCUACCAAGCCGACGAUCCAUAGCUGGUCUUAGAGGAUGGUCAGCCACAUUGGAACUGAGACACGGUCCAAACUUUUACGGAAGGCAGCAGUGAGGAAUUUUUUGCAAUGAGCGAAAGCUUGACAAAGCAAUACCGCGUGAGGUAAGAAGGCCUAUGGGUUGUAAACCUCUUUUCUUAAGGAAGAAGAUCUGACAUGUACUUGAGGAAUAAGCAUCGGCUAACCCUGUG
rnacentral:rRNA from 1 species